UGAGGAUAAUACCCCAUAGGUCAUGGGAUCUGGAACGACCCAUGGCCCAAAGCCACGGCGCCCAAGGAUCGCUCUGCGGCUUAUCAGGUCGUAGUGGGUGUGACGUACCCCCUAGCCGACGACGAGUAUGGGCCUUGAGAGAGGGAGCCCAGAGUUGGAUUCUGAGACACGAAUCCAGGCCCUACGGGGCGCAGCAGUCGCGAAAACUUCACACUGGGGGGAACCCCGAUGAGGGAAUUCCUAGUGCCAGGGCCUUCGGUCCUGGCUUUUCUCCGGCGUAGACGACCGGAGGAAUAAGGGCUGGGUAAGACGGGUGCCAGCCGCCGCGGUAAUACCUGCAGCCCGAGUGGUGGUCGAUUUUAUUGAGUCUAAAACGUUCGUAGCCGGCCCGGUAAAUCCCUGGGUAAAUCGGGAAGCUCAACUUCCCGAAUUCCGGGGAGACUGCCGGGCUUGGGACCGGGAGAGGCUAGAGGUACUUCCGGGGUAGGGGUAAAAUCCUGUAAUCCUGGAAGGACCACCGGUGGCGAAGGCGUCUAGCUAGAACGGAUCCGACGGUGAGGGACGAAGCCCUGGGUCGCAAACGGGAUUAGAUACCCCGGUAGUCCAGGGUGUAAACGCUGCAGACUUGGUGUUGGGGGCCCUUCGGGAGCGUCCAGUGCCGGAGAGAAGUUGUUAAGUCUGCUACUUGGGGAGUACGUCCGCAAGGAUGAAACUUAAAGGAGUUGGCGGGGGAGCACCGCAACGGGAGGAGCGUGCGGUUUAAUUGGAUUCAACACCGGAAAACUCACCAGAGGCGACAGCUGUAUGAUAGCCAGGUUGAUGACUUUGCUUGACUAGCUGAGAGGAGGUGCAUGGCCGCCGUCAGCUCGUACCGUGAGGCGUCCUGUUAAGUCAGGCAACGAGCGAGACCCACGCCCUUAGUUACCAGCUUAUCCUUUUUGGAUGAUGGGCACACUAAGGGGACCGCCUAUGAUAAAUAGGAGGAAGGAGUGGACGACGGUAGGUCCGUAUGCCCCGAAUCCUCUGGGCAACACGCGGGCUACAAUGGCUGAGACAAUGGGUUCCGACACCGAAAGGUGGAGGUAAUCCUCUAAACUUAGUCGUAGUUCGGAUUGAGGACUGUAACUCGUUCUCAUGAAGCUGGAAUGCGUAGUAAUCGCGUAUCA
rnacentral:rRNA from 1 species